CUACGAAAGGUGCAAGCGUUGUUCGGAUUUACUGGGCGUAAAGAGAGUGUAGGUUGUUUAUUAAGUCGGAUGUGAAAUCCCGGGGCUCAACCUCGGAACUGCAUUCGAUACUGGUAGACUAGAGUUCGGGAGGGGUAAGCGGAAUUCCGUGUGUAGCAGUGAAAUGCGUAGAUAUACGGAGGAACACCUGAGGCGAAGGCGGCUUACUGGACCGAUACUGACACUGAGACUCGAAAGCGUGGGUAGCAAACAGGAUUAGAUACCCUAGUAGUCC
rnacentral:rRNA from 1 species